rnacentral:rRNA from 1 species
CCUACGGGCGGCAGCAGUGGGGAAUAUUGGGCAAUGGGCGCAAGCCUGACCCAGCAACGCCGCGUGAAGGAAGAAGGCUUUCGGGUUGUAAACUUCUUUUGUCAGGGACGAAGCAAGUGACGGUACCUGACGAAUAAGCCACGGCUAAAUACGUGCCAGCAGCAGGGGUAAUACGUAGGUGGCAAGCGUUAUCCGGAUUUACUGGGUGUAAAGGGCGUGUAGGCGGGACUGCAAGUCAGAUGUGAAAACCACGGGCUCAACCUGUGGCCCGCAUUUGAAACUGUAGUUCUUGAGUACUGGAGAGGCAGACGGAAUUCGUAGUGUAGCGGUGAAAUGCGUAGAUAUUAGGAGGAACACCGGUGGCGAAGGCGGUCUGCUGGACAGCAACUGACGCUGAGGCGCGAAAGCGUGGGUAGCAAACAGGAUUAGAUACCCCAGUAGUC